rnacentral:rRNA from 1 species
UACGGAGGGUGCAAACGUUGCUCGGAUUUACUGGGCGUAAAGCGCGUGUAGGCGCUUCGCAAGUCGGAUGUGAAAGCCCUGGGCUCAACCCAGGAAGUGCAUUCGAAACUGCAGAGCUGGAGUCCUGGAGAGGAAGGCGGAAUUCUCGGUGUAGAGGUGAAAUUCGUAGAUAUGAGAGGAACACCGGUGGCGAAGGCGGCCUUCUGGACAGUGACUGACGCUGAGACGCGAAAGCGUGGGGAGCAAACAGG